GUUAGGAAUAUUGGACAAUGGGCGAAAGCCUGAUCCAGCCAUGCCGCGUGAACGAUGAAGGCCUUCGGGUUGUAAAGUUCUUUAGCCGAUGAUUAUAAUGACUGUAGUCGGAAAAUAAGCCCCGGCUAACUUCGUGUCAGCAGCCGCGGUAAUACGAAGGGGGCGAGCGUUAUUCGGAAUCACUGGGCGUAAAGCGUGCGUAGGCGGUUUUGUAAGUUAGGAGUGAAAGCCCAGGGCUCAACCUUGGAAUUGCUCUUAAAACUGCAAGGCUCGAAUCUCGGAGAGGAUAGCGGAAUUUCCAGUGUAGCAGUGAAAUGCGUAGAUAUUGGAAGGAACACCAGUGGCGUAAGCGGCUAUCUGGACGAGUAUUGACGCUGAGGCACGAAAGCGUGGGGAUCAAACAGGAUUAGAUACCCCAGUAGUCC
rnacentral:rRNA from 1 species